UUGAAAUUGUCUUUGGCUCGUUUAUAUUCAGAUUCAGUAUAUUAUGAUCGUGCACGGCAAAUUCAACGGUCCAAAUUUCGGAUUUUCAGAGUCGUGCACCAAGAAAAACGCAUUAAAUAAACUAGCACGAAUGUCCAGAGUUAGACACAAUGCAAAAUCAAUAAAAAAACAGGUACAAUUCGUUCAAAAUUUUCACGAAAUUGUUUGAAACAUUUUGCCCACUCCACGAAAGUCCCCGCCAUUUUGAAAAGGAUCAAGCAGCUCAUUAAUACUCUAUUUUGUGGCUACCGACGAUCGACUAUCCAUGAUCCGUGACAAAUGCAUGCCGAAACCUAUACUCGUGCCCCAAAGAGUAAUUAAUUCUGUUUACAUAAUGAUGUUGGUUAGCACUAUUUUCCAUCCAGCAAACUGACCUGACGUCAUUUUCGGAAGAUGGAAGAGGUGUUAAAUGGCUAUGUAACUAACCCAAACCCUACCCCUACUCUAACCCCUAACUCUAACUCUAACCCUAACCAAAUUAAUAAAAAAAUCCAAAAAGAAACGACUUUACAAAAUCGAUAGGGCGGUUUGCCGGAUGGAAAAAAGUGCUAACCAAUGAGUUUAGGCAAGUUAAAAAGCUUGCCUGCCAGAAAUGUAAACUAUGCAAGGAUUUAUUCGUAGGAUGUUAUAAAAUUGCCUAUAUAUACCUAAGCCCCCCCCCCCCCACAUAUAUAAAAGCCAUC